GGCGCUGUGGCAUAGUGGGUAAAGCAGCCGCCUGCAGUGCUGGCAUCCCAUAUGGGUGCAGGUUCAAGUCCUGGCUGCUCCA
rnacentral:tRNA from 1 species